rnacentral:rRNA from 1 species
UUAAGCAUAUCAAUAAGCGGAGGAAAAGAAACUAACAAGGAUUCCCCUAGUAACUGCGAGUGAAGCGGGAAAAGCUCAAAUUUAAAAUCUGGCGGUCUCUGGCUGUCCGAGUUGUAAACUAGAGAAGUGUUAUCCGUGCUGGACCAUGUAUAAGUCUCCUGGAACGGAGCGUCAUAGAGGGUGAGAAUCCCGUCUUUGACAUGGACUACCAGUGCAUUGUGGUAUGCUCUCAAAGAGUCGAGUUGUUUGGGAAUGCAGCUCAAAAUGGGUGGUAAAUUCCAUCUAAAGCUAAAUAUUGGCGAGAGACCGAUAGCGAACAAGUACCGUGAGGGAAAGAUGAAAAGAACUUUGGAAAGAGAGUUAAACAGUACGUGAAAUUGUUGAAAGGGAAACGCUUGAAGUCAGUCACAUUGGCUGGAGAUCAACCUUGCUUUUGGAAGGUGUACUCUCUGGUUGAUGGGUCAGCAUCAAUUUUGACCAUUGGAAAAAGGUCAGGGGAAUGUGGCAUCCUUGGAUGUGUUAUAGCCCUUGGUUGUAUACAGUGGUUGGGAUUGAGGAACUCAGCACGCCGCAAGGCCGGGUUUUACCACGUUCGUGCUUAGGAUGCUGGCAUAAUGGCUUUAAUCGACCCGUCUUGAAACACGGACCAAGGAGUCUAACAUGCCUGCGAGUGUUUGGGUGGAAAACCCAUGCGCGUAAUGAAAGUGAUAGUUGAGAUCUCUGUCAUGGAGAGCACCGACGCCCGGACCAGACCUUUUGUGACGGAUCCGCGGUAGAGCAUGUAUGUUGGGACCCGAAAGAUGGUGAACUAUGCCUGAAUAGGGUGAAGCCAGAGAAACUCUGGUGGAGGCUCGUAGCGAUUCUGA